UAGGGAAUCUUCCACAAUGGACGAAAGUCUGAUGGAGCAACGCCGCGUGCAGGAUGAAGGCUUUCGAGUCGUAAACUGCUUUUAUGAGUGAAGAUUUUGACGGUAGCUCAUGAAUAAGGAUCGGCUAACUCCGUGCCAGCAGCCGCGGUCAUACGGAGGAUCCAAGCGUCAUCCGGAAUUACUGGGCGUAAAGAGAUGCGUAGGUGGUUUUUUAAGCAAAAUGUGAAAUCAUGAGGCUCAACCUCAUGACUGUGUUUUGAACUGAUCAACUUGAGAAUGGUAGAGGUAACUGGAAUUCCUAGUGUAGGAGUGAUAUCCGUAGAUAUUAGGAGGAACACCAAUGGCGAAGGCAGGUUACUGGGCCAUUUCUGACACUGAGGCUCGAAAGCGUGGGGAGCAAACGGAAUUAGAUACUCCGGUAGUCCACGCCGUAAACUAUGGAUGCUAGCUGUUAUGGGUAUCGACCCCCGUAGUAGCGAAGCUAACGCGUUAAGCAUCCCGCCUGGGGAGUACGGUCGCAAGAUUA
rnacentral:rRNA from 1 species